UCUUUAGCUCAGUCGGUAGAGCAAGGGACUGAAAAUCCCUGUGUCGGUGGUUCGAUUCCACUAG
rnacentral:tRNA from 1 species